GGACCCGCACAAGCGGUGGAGCAUGUGGUUUAAUUCGAUGCAACGCGAAAAACCUUACCUACUCUUGACAUACUUGGAAGCUCUUGUAAUGAGAGUGUGCCUUUUGGAGCCAAGAUACAGGUGCUGCAUGGCUGUCGUCAGCUCGUGUCGUGAGAUGUUCCGUUAAGUCGGAUAACGAGCGCAACCCUUACCCUUAUUUGCCAGCGAUUCGGUCGGGAACUAUAAGGGGACUGCCGGUGAUAAACCGGAGGAAGGUGAGGACGACGUCAAGUCAUCAUGGCCCUUACGAGUAGGGCUACACACGUGCUACAAUGGGGAAUACAGACGGACGCUAAGCCGCGAGGUGGUG
rnacentral:rRNA from 1 species